rfam:Bacillus sp. FJAT-18017 genome.
AUCCCUUUUAAUUGCAGUCCAGAGAGUCUGCCAAGGGGGAAAUGCAGGAUAGCAGGGCUGAUUAUGCCCUGUCCGAUACAGGAUACUUCGGUGUUCUGCUGCAUUCAACCUCCUUGCACAUUCUGCUGCAGGGAGGUUUUUUUGU